UACGUAGGGUGCAAGCGUUAAUCGGAAUUACUGGGCGUAAAGCGUGCGCAGGCGGCUUUGCAAGACAGAUGUGAAAUCCCCGGGCUUAACCUGGGAACUGCAUUUGUGACUGCAUGGCUGGAGUGCGGCAGAGGGGGAUGGAAUUCCGCGUGUAGCAGUGAAAUGCGUAGAUAUGCGGAGGAACACCGAUGGCGAAGGCAGUCCCCUGGGCCCGCACUGACGCUCAUGCACGAAAGCGUGGGGAGCAAACAGG
rnacentral:rRNA from 1 species